UCGGGUUGUAAAGCACUUUUGUCCGGAAAGAAAACUUCGGCCCUAAUACGGCGGGAGGAUGACGGUACCGGAAGAAUAAGCACCGGCUAACUACGUGCCAGCAGCGCGGUAAUCGUAGGGUGCGAGCGUUAAUCGGAAUUACUGGGCGUAAAGCGUGCGCAGGCGGUUCGUUAAGACAGAUGUGAAAUCCCCGGGCUUAACCUGGGAACUGCAUUUGUGACUGGCGAGCUAGAGUAUGGCAGAGGGGGGUAGAAUUCCACGUGUAGCAGUGAAAUGCGUAGAGAUGUGGAGGAAUACCGAUGGCGAAGGCAGCCCCCUGGGCCAAUACUGACGCUCAUGCACGAAAGCGUGGGGAGCAAACAGGAUUAGAUACCCUGGUAGUCCACGCCCUAAACGAUGUCAACUAGUUGUUGGGGAUUCAUUUCCUUAGUAACGUAGCUAACGCGUGAAGUUGACCGCCUGGGGAGUACGGUCGCAAGAUUAAAACUCAAAGGAAUUGACGGGGACCCGCACAAGCGGUGGAUGAAUGUGGAUUAAUUCGAUGCAACGCGAAAAACCUUACCUACCCUUGACAUGGUCGGAACCUGCUG
rnacentral:rRNA from 1 species